AGAGAAGAGGCAGCCAGACCUAUCCCGCGCCCCCGCAGCCGCCUCCUCUCCUGCCGCCGCCUCGGCCUCGUCCGCCUCCUCUCCUGCCGCCGCCGUCGCCUCGACCUCGGCCGGCCCGUGCUCUGCCGAUGCCCGUCGGCCUCGAUCCGACCUCGGCAGGAGGGGAGCAGCAGCCUCGCCCCGUGCUCCGUCGGUGCCCGUCGGCCUCGACCCGUCGUCGGCAAGAGAGUGCUUGGGGGAGGAGAGGAAGGCGGCGCUCUAGGCAGGGGUGUUGGGUAGAGAGAUAUGGCGGCAGCAGCAGGAGCAGCUCGUCUCUCCUCUUCGUCUCAUCUCAUGGAUGACGGCGUCGGCUCCAGAAGCUCUAGGAGUGGAAGACGUCUUCCUCCAGAAUUUGGUCGAGGAUUUUGUUGCAACGACACUAUGCUGACUUUUUGUGGUUUUGGAAUUUGUUAAUGAAAUUCUGGUUAAGCGCUUUGACUUGGCCAGUGAUCUUGUCUCAAAUUACAGUUUUGGAAUUUGUCAAUGAAAUUCUACAAUCAGGUAAACCUUUUGUUUGGUCUAUUCGUCGAUAGAAUAUUCUAGACACUUGACUAGAUGUUGUAUACCAAGCAGUUCAUCAAUUCUCUUGCUGGCCUGUAGUGUUCGCCAUCAUGUAAUUUUAGGAACAAAAUUAAGAGAAAACUUACUGCAUUUUAUGUGUGAGCCAUUGAGGAUUUCUGAUAGUCUUUACAUUAUAAUGUUUUUGGUGCAGACCAUCGAUUUUACUAAGUCUUCGUCUGUUACUUUUUGCAAAUUUCAGCAUGAAUAUGCAUUCGAACUUGUUCUCAGUUAUGCAUAUAUUCAUUUUCUUAGAUGUGCAGUAUGCAAUCAUGUUCUUUUCUUGCGAUGCUUUUGGCCUGUUAAUCUUUCAUUUGAAGGAGAAUCACCAAGCGGAAUUGAGACUAUUAUCAAAAAUCCUCAUUUUGUAGAAGGGUUAAGCAAUUGGUCCGGACAAAAUGUAAUAUCUGCAGGCAUGAGUUAACUGCAUAUGGGAAUGUAAAUCACAUAAAUGGCAGCUACGUUGCAUCAGUAACAGGACAGGUUCACAGUUGGAAUGGCAUACAACAAGAUAUCACAGGCAGUGUAAAGAAAAGUUUCUUACGAGAUAAGUUCUCCUGUUUGCAGAUUUGGCAGUGCUAAUGAUACUGAAGUUCAUGCUACUUUGUGGGUAUAAGAAUAUGGCUGUGAACAAUAUCUAUGCAUUUCAAAGGUUGCAGAUGCCACAAGGCUUGCCUAACAAAGGUUCACUGAAAAGGAAUGGCUUGACAAAAAAGGCCAGCCUCGAAGCGACAUGUUGUGUGCGUGCUUCUGUCCGGGUGAAAGCAGGGUCAAAUCGAUCAUGCGUUGUCAGGUGCGUGGGUGGGUUCGCAGGCGGGUGGGUGGAUUCUAGCCGUCUACUCGCACCAUGCUCGCUUCCACCUAGCUGCGACUCUUCCUCGUCAAAGAGCCUUGGGCCCAUUCGUCGGUCUCUUGGGUACAUGCGCCUGGUGAGGUCCUUCGUUUACCCGCUUGUCUCUCUCCCUUUACCCUCGUCACCACCAAUCCCUUUCGCCCUUGAGCCCUGCCUCCCCAUCUAGUUCCCAUUCGCCGCUCUCCUCGCUCCCAUCCACGGCGAGCGGGGCGGCCGUGAGAGAAUAUCAGUGGGGGCGCGCGUAGAGCCUGAGAGCCGGCGGAAGCAGGGGCUGGGUGUUGGCGGCCGACGGGGGUCUGGCGGGCGUGGCGGCAGCUGGAAGGGCAGCAACGGCGCGUCGACCAGACCGGCAGCAACCCCGAUGGAGGGGAAGGGACCGGCAGACGCAUACAAGCGGGAGAGGCUUGGGGGCCUCGUGGAUUGGGAUGGCGUCGCCCGAGUUUCUUCGCUUGAUCUGGAGAGGGCCAUGGCAGUGCACGCGAGGGGCGGAGGCGAGCGACCCUAUGGAGCCGCACACAUCGAUAGGGAGAAGCUCGAGCUGCAGUGGGUCCAUGGUGCCAUCGCCGUCAUAGCAGGAGAAGCGUGGGCCGCAGAGACGUCCGGAUCUGUCCAGCCCUCACGCCGCCGUCCGACCACCCUAGACGUUUGUUCCUGCGUCCUCGCCUCCAUCCUCUGAAUUUUUGUGCCCGUGUCCUCCCCUCCGUUUGGCUCUUGUUGAAGUGCCACCGAUUUCUUCUGCUACCUAAGAAGUACUAAUGCUCAUAUUUUUACAAUUUGGUUUCCAUAGCUUUUAGUCAUGGGAUCUUGAGGAAAGCAGUUAAUACAUUAUGAUUGUGUCGACUAUACUGAAUCUACAAAGCCUUUUUGUGUGCAGAGAAAUUCACACUCUGCAUUAGUUGCAAAAGAUGCUGAUUUUGAUCUUAAUAAUUAUAGUUGAUGUUCAAGCAGUAGCGAGUUUGGCAACCUCACGGUCAUCUAAUUCGGAAUUCACGUCCUACCCUCAAAGCUUAGCUUAAUAUUAUUCAUUUUCUGGUUUAAACUAUUUCUUGAAGCCUUCUUUCAGCUCGCACUUGUAUGCUAAUUAAACUUAUUUCUGGGUGUAAGAAGAGUUCAGAGCAAAGCAGGCCAACAUCUUUGCUGCAACAUCUUUGUUGCACUGGACCGGCUCUACAUCCGUGGUGGCGGGCACGGCCUCCGCUGCCGGGUGCACGAUGAGGCGCUCGAGGGGUAGGGCCGCUUGCGGCGCAGGUGCCCGUCGUGUGUCCCAGCGGGGCACCCGAGGCAGCUGCAACUGGCCGGCGAGUUUGGCUGAUUUCAACAUGUCAAGAAGAAGACCAUGGCUACCGGAGAACUAUAUGAACAAGGCUCGCCAGGUCCUGCAUCAUCAACUAACAGCCAACUCCAAACGAUUACUCAGUUGCAGAAUAUCCCAACAAAAGGCAGAAUUCCUUGUAGGAUAAAUAAAACUGCAUCUGAUGCUGACAAGUCUAGGAAUUCCAGAGGCCGAGUAUCGUUGCAGGGUAUAUGCGAACAACAAAAUCUAUGCCACAACUCUUUUCAGUACAUCUAUGGUACCACUCAAAGGUGUCCUCAUUUCGGGAUAGUAAGUCCGAUGACAAGAGAUUCUACAUAUUUUCUCCCACAAAGGCACUUAAGUUGAAGACAUAUUCAAAAGAUGACCGUGUCUCUGUGGUCGAGGCCUUGGUCUUGGUCAGGAGUGUUUAUUCGCUCAGGUCGCUUAGUGGAAGAAUAACUUUGGUGCAGAGUGACAUUUCUAUUUUGACUGCAAGGAAUAAAAAUCGGAUGCACCAGGAGGCUUUAAACGAGAGUCUUAUAUAGGAUUGAGAAUAGAUUAUGCUUUCGGAGUUUUCAUGCUACUAAAAGCAACUGAAGCUACGCUAUGAGGAUCAUCUAAGCUUGUUUGGAUCCAGUAGAUACCAUUUUUGUGCGAGUUUUUCUGAAGAUGUGUCAAUGUUCAGCCUGGAGAAUGUUCAUGUAAAGGCCAGUACACAAGCAUGUCUACUUUACCAUAUGGAUGGUGGAUUUACAGGACAAAUUUAUGCACCAGCUUUGAAUUCCAUGACGUUGCACGGACUAUGUGGAACCCACUGAUUCAUAGUGAUGUAUUUUCUUCGAGAAAGAGAGGACUGUGCAAUCAGAAGUACAAUAUGUGAUCAUCAAGUGUAAGAGAUGGCAAGAAUAUGUGGUAUGUAUUUCAGUCUGCGUACUAACGAAGUGUAUUGACUGUUCAUGCUGCUAUAAUAA